AGAUGUCUAGUUAAAUUUGACUUUCAGAUAAACAACAAGUGCUUUUUUAGUAUAAGUAUGCUCAUGCAGUAUUUGGGACAUAUUUAUACUAAAAGAAUUAUUACUUAUUUAUCUGAAAUUCAAAUGUAACUGGUCAUCUUGUAUUUU
rnacentral:miRNA from 1 species